rnacentral:rRNA from 1 species
UACGUAGGAUCCAAGCGUUGUCCGGAUUUACUGGGUGUAAAGGGUGCGCAGGCGGACUGGUUAGUCAGGAGUGAAAUCUCGGCGCUCAACGCCGAAACGUCUUUUGAUACUGCCAGUCUUGAAUAAGCGAGAGAUUCGUGGAAUUCCGGGUGUAGCGGUGGAAUGCGUAGAGAUCCGGAAGAACACCGGUGGCGAAGGCGGUCUGCUGGGCAGUUGCUGACACUGAGGCGCGACAGCGUGGGGAGCAAACAGG